rnacentral:tRNA from 1 species
GCCGGCCUGGUGCAAUUGGUAGACGCGCUGGAUUCAGAAUCCAGUCCGAAAGGGUGAGAGUUCAAGUCUCUCGGCCGGUA